rnacentral:rRNA from 1 species
GUAUGACUCUCGGCAAUGGAUAUCUUGGCUCUUGCAUCGAUGAAGAGCGCAGCAAAAUGCGAUACGUGGUGUGAAUUGCAGAAUCCCGUGAACCAUCGAGUUUUUGAACGCAAGUUGCGCCCGAGGCCAAUUGGCUAAGGGCACGUCCGCCUGGGCGUCAAGC